GCAGCUUUUUUCAGUUUACGAUCGUGGAAUUCAAGAAGUAAUAAAUGGGUAUUGGUCAAAAUCGACUUCGAUCUGGCUUUAAAGCCAAGCCUAGUAAAGAAAAAUAUUUCGAAGGAAAGGAAAGAUGCGCGUCCAGUAACCCGACAGCAUAAAAUUAGGAUCCAAGCUCCUCGCGGCUAGACGAAAACUAUGACGACGUCGAGUGUCACGAUGGCGAUGGCGAUGGCGAUGGCGAUGGCGAUGGUGAUGGCGAUGGUGAUGGCGAUGGUGAUGGCGAUGGCGAUGGCGAUAGCAGCGACGGCGAUGACGACGACAUCAACAAAGAUGAUAAGAAUAGCAUACAGUAACAGAACGAUAUCUCAAACAUUAUCGGCUUGAUGGAACAGAGAGCUAACCAAAGGAAAAAGCCACCUAGCGACCUUAGUUUGGUCGGUACACGAAGAGACGUUUCUUCGUCCAUCGAGCUAAAUAUACAACGAGUUGCUAGCGAGUUUACAGAUGCAUCGUGCGUUCUAGUGGCGCACAACGCUAUCUAAUAACGUAACCGCAUCUCUUUUUCAAACAAUCAACUCGAUAAAUCAAUAUAAUUAGAGAAUGUAACGUCUUAAAGUAAAUUAUGUCAUUGUUUUAUGAAAAGAAAUAAGCUUGCAAUUACUCUUAUAUAUUUUCAAUAUAUAUUGACAACCAAAAUAUGUAAAAUAGAAAAAUGAACUAUCGUUAAACCAUAAUAUGUGGUGCUUUCGGAAUCAUUAAACUUAUAAUUUGACCGAUGGCAAACAUUGGCUAAUAUAUGGCUAUCUAUUAAUAUUAUAAUUUUACUAUACCUGCUUUUUUUCAAAAUUGCAAUUUAUCCUGGAAACAUUCGAAAAUAAUAUUAUAAUAUAAUUAAAUCUACAGAGUUCUUGGAAUUUUAAAACACAGACAGAUGAGCGACAUAAUUUAAAUUUCAAACGAUUUCGUGGUUUAGAUGUAAUCAAAAUAUCUUAAUCAUGUCUCAAUGUUUUUAAGUAUCGCAAGGCAACUGGAAAAUAAAUUUAAAAAUAUCGGAUCGAUAA